GCUCCGAUGGCCUAGUGGUUAGAGCGUCCGCCUCGGAUGCUAGAGGUUGUGGGUUCGAUCUCCUGUCGAACCA